rnacentral:RNase_P_RNA from 1 species
UAGGCAUAGUAGGUGGUUGCUUUUGAUUACAAAAGAGGAAAGUCCGAGCUACAAAGACAGGAUUCCAUUUAACGAAUGGCUAGGGUAACCUAAGGGAAAGUGCAACAGAAAAUUACCGCCUUAUAGAAUCUUAAGGUAAGGGUGAAAAGGUGAGGUAAGAGCUCACCGGUCUUUCAGCAAUGUUAGGCGUCUAUGCAAACCCAAUUCGUAGCAAGAAGAAUAUGGUUAAAGUCUUAAGAUAAUAAAUUCUUCGCUUGAGAUAUGUUGUGAAACAUAUCCUAGAUAAAUAGCCACCCACGACAGAACUCGGCUUAUCGCUAUGCCUAUUUU